CAUAACUGAAUUAGUGAAAUUUGCCAUCCUGAUUAGCUAUUUUCCACUUGUUACUUUAGAAUUAUCAAGGCCUUGGAGAGGAGAAGGAAGAAGAAAGGCACAAAUGCUUCAGAUUGCUAUCCUUUGACACUAAGGAAAUGAAUUAGUAAAUAGAGAUGAUGAGCUCUUGGACAGAAUAAAAGAUCAUGGUUGCUUUCAAAAGAAAUGUCAGAUUGCUAAAAUGACAGAAGCAUUUGAGAAUAAUUGUUACUCCCAAAGAAAAUAUACAUGUUUUAAAACCUAACAACUUCAAAGGUGAAGAUACCAAGUAAAUUGUCUUAACAAGAUUACAAAACUUAUACAAGAAACUAAUUACAUGACAUGGAAUGCAAAACUCACAACUAGGUAGGAUAUAAACUUUUGUAGUUGGCAUUUGUCUGUGAUUUCAGGAGGAAAAAAAUAGGUAAUGGCUAAAG
rnacentral:lncRNA from 1 species